rnacentral:rRNA from 1 species
GACGAACGCUGGCGGCGUGCCUAAUACAUGCAAGUCGAGCGGACUUGACAGAGCUUGCUCUGUUCAAGUUAGCGGCGGACGGGUGAGUAACACGUGGGCAACCUGCCCUGCAGAUUGGGAUAACUCCGGGAAACCGGGGCUAAUACCGAAUAAUAUCGAAGAUUUCAUGAUCUUCUUUUGAAAGAUGGCUUCGGCUGUCACUUCAGGAUGGGCCCGCGGCGCAUUAGCUAGUUGGUGAGGUAAGGGCUCACCAAGGCGACGAUGCGUAGCCGACCUGAGAGGGUGAUCGGCCACACUGGGACUGAGACACGGCCCAGACUCCUACGGGAGGCAGCAGUAGGGAAUCUUCCGCAAUGGACGAAAGUCUGACGGAGCAACGCCGCGUGAGUGAUGAAGGUUUUCGGAUCGUAAAACUCUGUUGUCAGGGAAGAACAAGUACGGGAGUAACUGUCCGUACCUUGACGGUACCUGACCAGAAAGCCACGGCUAACUACGUGCCAGCCGCCGCGGUAACAC